CCUACGGGUGGCAGCAGUGAGGAAUAUUGGUCAAUGGACGAGAGUCUGAACCAGCCAAGUCGCGUGAAGGAUGACUGCCCUAUGGGUUGUAAACUUCUUUUAUAUGGGAAUAAAAUGUUCCACGUGUGGGAUUUUGUAUGUACCAUAUGAAUAAGGAUCGGCUAACUCCGUGCCAGCAGCCGCGGUCAUACGGAGGAUCCGAGCGUUAUCCGGAUUUAUUGGGUUUAAAGGGAGCGUAGGUGGAUUUUUAAGUCAGUUGUGAAAGUUUGCGGCUCAACCGUAAAAGUGCAGUUGAAACUGGCAGUCUUGAGUACAGUAGAGGUGGGCGGAAUGCGUGGUGUAGCGGUGAAAUGCUUAGAUAUCACGAAGAACUCCGAUUGCGAAGGCAGUUCACUGGACUGCAACUGACACUGAGGCUCGAAAGUGUGGGUAUCAAACAGGAUUAGAUACCCGUGUAGUC
rnacentral:rRNA from 1 species